UGGAGUAGCUCUGUUACUUUAUUCUGAUAAAUUCUCUUUCCUCCUUUUGUGGAUGAAUAUUGAUCUUUUUGCACGAUUCUUCUCUUCACUGUUGGAUGCUGAGCUGCUGAAAGGAUUUUUGCUGAUUUAUUUUUACGUUUGGACAUUUGUCAUGAUGCGUAACCAUAGCAACAAGGUCUUUCUUUUGUUCAGUCUUUACAAAUGGGAGCAGCUGAUUAAUAUCUAAAAGCUGAAAUAAUACCUCAACUACAACCCCAACGUUGAAAAGGAGGCGCCGGUUUCAGACACCCCAAUGUGUUUGUGCUUCUCACAGGUUGUCCUGGAUGAUCACACUUUUAUGGUCCUGUCAUGAUGUUCUCACCUUCAGCUUCUGAUAAUGGAGAACAGAACCAGGUGUGAUUCUGAUCUGUCCGGUAGGAGGUGACUGAUGAUCUGCUCUCUGAUCUCAGACCAGCUGCUUUCUACAGAGUCUCAUCAACACUGCAGACAGAAGCUGCAGACCUGGAGAAACACAGCUUAGAAAACACAAACAUCUGAUCUGAGAUGUUUCUCUCAUGUCAAGAACCAGGAAGCUGCUAGAAGUUCUGAUCCAGAAACAAACAGACUCACCUCGAACUAUCAGAUCAAUGAUGCUGAUGAGCGGCGUCGGGAGAAUGCGUCCUUCCAGCCAAAGGAGACGAUGUGCUCUGCGGGCCCUAUCUUUCAGCAUGCCGGUAGCAGCGUUGCUUAGCAACAUACAGCUGAUCCUUUACUCACCACUAGAUGCCGCCAGGAUUCCCUGGUUUGGAGGGUAGCAAGUGUUCCUCAUCAGCAUUCAUCUGGAGGAGUAUAAGAAGGUGGAGCUGUCAGCACUCCAGUGCCUGAGUGUUUGCCUUUGUGGUAACUUCAUCUGGCCAAGCCUCAAAGUUUGUAUUCUUGCUGAAGCUCGCAGUAAUUAACCUUUUGUGUGCUCCUUCUUAGGUGACUUCAAGUCCAUGCCUCAAAGCUCCUGCUACUUUGAGCCCUGGCUGAAAGUCUCUGCUUUCCAUCCUGCGACAGUCGAAGUUCCCAAGCUUCCAAGUAAUCUACCUGGAUCAAGUACUGGCUGACAGCUCAAAGCCUUCGUCGUCCUUCAAGCGAACGCUGCUCACCCCCCUCCUAUUUACAAUCCACAUCCAGCUUCUGGAAACCUCACCAGGUAACCAAACUUACAAAUUCAAACUGUUAAGAUCUUACAUGAAACCUACUCCUGAGAAACUCACCACCACCACUGGCUCAAAGACUCAGCAGCAGUUUCACCGCUCUCCCUGGCUCCACAACGUUCUCCCUCAUCAAAACUCAUCCUCUUCUCCAUCUGGUGUCUCGAGCUCCGGUUCCAGUUCCAUUAUUCUUUAUUGAAGAAAUAAAC